CGGACCGGCGCACGGGUGAGUAACACGUAUGCAACCUGCCCUCUUCAGGGGGACGAACCUUCCGAAAGGGAGGCUAAUCCCGCGUAUAUCGGUUUCGGGCAUCCGAGAUCGAGGAAAGAUUCAUCGGAAGAGGAUGGGCAUGCGGCGCAUUAGCUAGACGGCGGGGUAACGGCCCACCGUGGCGACGAUGCGUAGGGGUUCUGAGAGGAAGGUCCCCCACACUGGUACUGAGACACGGACCAGACUCCUACGGGAGGCAGCAG
rnacentral:rRNA from 1 species